UCGAACGGAACUGUUUUGAAAGAUUUCUUCGGAAUGAAUUUGAUUUAGUAUAGUGGCGGACGGGUGAGUAACGCGUGAGUAACCUGCCUUCAAGAGGGGGAUAACAUUCUGAAAAGAAUGCUAAUACCGCAUGAUAUAUCGGGACCACAUGGUUUUGAUAUCAAAGAUUUUAUCGCUUGAAGAUGGACUCGCGUCCGAUUAGUUAGUUGGUGAGGUAACGGCUCACCAAGACCGCGAUCGGUAGCCGGACUGAGAGGUUGAACGGCCACAUUGGGACUGAGACACGGCCCAGACUCCUACGGGAGGCAGCAGUGGGGGAUAUUGCGCAAUGGGGGCAACCCUGACGCAGCAACGCCGCGUGAAGGAUGAAGGUUUUCGGAUUGUAAACUUCUUUUAUUAAGGACGAAAAACGACGGUACUUAAUGAAUAAGCUCCGGCUAACUACGUGCCAGCAGCCGCGGUAAUACGUAGGGAGCAAGCGUUGUCCGGAUUUACUGGGUGUAAAGGGUGCGUAGGCGGCUUUGCAAGUCAGAUGUGAAAUCUAUGGGCUCUACCCAUAAACUGCAUUUGAAACUGUAGAGCUUGAGUGAAGUAGAGG
rnacentral:rRNA from 1 species